rnacentral:rRNA from 1 species
UACGGGGGGGGCAAGCGUUGUUCGGAAUUACUGGGCGUAAAGGGCUCGUAGGCGGCCAACUAAGUCAGACGUGAAAUCCCUCGGCUUAACCGGGGAACUGCGUCUGAUACUGGAUGGCUUGAGGUUGGGAGAGGGAUGCGGAAUUCCAGGUGUAGCGGUGAAAUGCGUAGAUAUCGGGAGGAACACCGGUGGCGAAGGCGGCUCUCUGGGACGGUACUGACGCUGAGACGCGAAAGCGUGGGGAGCGAACAGG